CAAUUUGUGAAAUGAAAGACACUGAAAUUAUGCUUACUUAUAAUUAUCUCUAUUGGUUGAAUUAAUAAGCAUAGCAGACUAAUAUCUACUGUAACAAUGUGAUAGUAAAAUUUAUUUGGAUAUUAGAUAUAAAUAUGUAAGUAGGAAUAAUUUUAACAUACUAGUCAAGGUAAAUGUGUAUCAUGGGGGUUUGUUGUGCAGAUUACUUCAUCGC
rnacentral:lncRNA from 1 species